UCCGGCUUAUCACCGGCAGUCCCUCUAGAGUGCCCAACUCAAUGCUGGCAACUAAAGGCGAGGGUUGCGCUCGUUGCGGGACUUAACCCAACAUCUCACGACACGAGCUGACGACAACCAUGCACCACCUGUCUCCCCUGUCCCGAAGGCCUACAAUAUCUCUACUGUAUUCAGGGGGAUGUCAAGACCUGGUAAGGUUCUUCGCGUUGCUUCGAAUUAAACCACAUACUCCACUGCUUGUGCGGGUCCCCGUCAAUUCCUUUGAGUUUCAGUCUUGCGACCGUACUCCCCAGGCGGAAUGCUUAAUGUGUUAACUUCGGCACCAAGGGUAUCGAAACCCCUAACACCUAGCAUUCAUCGUUUACGGCGUGGACUAC
rnacentral:misc_RNA from 1 species